rnacentral:rRNA from 1 species
AAACUUUACUAUGCGCGAAAGCGUGAUAAGGGAAUCCGCAGUGCUUGGCCUUCGGGUCAAGCUUUUGUCGAGUCUAAGAAUCUCGGCGAAUAAGGGGUGGGUAAGACGGGUGCCAGCCGCCGCGGUAAUACCCGCGCCCCAAGUGGAGUUCACAUUUAUUGGGUCUAAAGCGUUCGUAGCCGGGCGAGAAAAUCUUUUGUGAAAUCGUUGCGCUUAACGCAACGGCGUGCAGAAGAGACUGCUCGUCUUGAAACCGGGAAGAGGGAGGAGUACUCGAGGGGAAGCGGUAAAAUGUGAUAAUCCUUCGAGGACUACCAGUGGCGAAGGCGCCUCUCUAGAACGGGUUUGUCGGUGAGGGACGAAGGCUAGGGGAGCAAAACGGAUUAGAUACCCGAGUAGUCCUAGCAGUAAACGCUGUGAGCUGUGUGUUGCAUCAUCCUAGAGAUGAUGCAGUGCCUAAGUGAAGACGUUAAGCUCACCANCNGGGAAGUACGGCUGCAAGACUGAAACUUAA